UAUAGUUGGACUGGGCUACUAUUACUAGCAAAAUUUUAUUAUUGCUACCAGUUUUUUAGCCUUUGGAUCAACUCUUUUCAUUAUUUCUAACCAUUGGAUUAAAUACUAUAACCCAGUGGGGACCACUCAACCCUAGGGCGACGACUAAACUCUAACCGAUUAAUAUUAUCCUGACUCUACAAUUUUUCAUCCAAGGGUUAAAAACUUGAUAGCAAAAAAAACGUUUUACUAUUAAUAGUAUUCCAGCCUAAUUCUAUAUAUAUAUAUAUAUAUAUAUAUAUAUAAACCUGUUAAUGGAGUCUAAGUCGGCGAGGUCGGCGAGGUUCUCGACGCCGGGGGGAGGCCGGUGAGAGCGGGGGAGGGGAAGGGGAGGAUGCGGAGACUGAUGUUGGCGCCGGGGAGGCGGCGGGAGUUGACAAGGGGCACGUUGGCCGGGGUGGUGACCAUAGUGGCGGCGACGCCGCCGCGGGCGGCGAAGAGGUUGGCCAUGUCCACCAUGGGAGGCAUGUGGCCCAUAGCCAUGAAAGGGAAGAACACGACGUGCAAGGGACGUCGAGCUAAAUAAUCCGAGCUCUCCAUGGUCACAGUUGUAUGUAUUUUUUUACGCACUUUGCCAUUUGAGUACUAUGUUGCUUUAAAGCCAUUACAACUUUAGUAUUUUGUUGGUUUUCAUUUUUUUUUUUAGUAUAGUUCUUUCCGUUAGUAUUUCAGUGUAUUAAUAUGAAAAAACACUUCAGUGCCUUCUUCUAGGUUACUAGAAUAUUCACUUUAGAACCUUAUUUAAAUUUUAUUAUAUUUAAUGAAAAAAUUUGUGGAAUGGCAAUAAUAAAAGGGAGAGAUUGGAAGGCCAUAGGCUUAUAGUUAUAUAUACUUAAACACAUGGUAAUAAAGAUUAAACAAGUAGGAAACCAUAUGGGUGGAUUGAAGUCUUUCUCUAAUAGAAAUUCUAUACAAAAAGGAAAUUUUUAUCUUUAUUCUGCUUAUCUCAAUUUCUAUUUAUUUGGGGUCUAAUAGAUUAUUACCAUUUAUGAUCGCGGAACGAGAAAAAGUACUGGCAGGCUCCUUCGAGGAUUUAUGAGCCUAUUUUUUUUUUUUUAAAAAAAAAUAGUCUCUCCUACGUAUUAUUAUAUAUAUAUAUAGAUAUAGGUGAGUCAAUUUCAUGAAUCCCAGUACAAAGUGGGUAAAAUACUGAUAGAUUCCCUAUAAGUUCUAUAAAUAUAUCCUCUGAACUCACAAUUUACACGAAAUUUAUCAAUCUAAUCACCUCUCUGCACUGUCUUAGUCAUCACUGUUAGCUUUUACUAGUUAUGAUAAAUGAGCGGUUAAAGAAUUGCGAUUUAAAAUUGUAAAAUAAAUUAUUUUGCCCUAGUUUUUCUUUAAGUUAAAAUUGUCUAUGGAAACCCCUCAACUUAUUAUGCAUUUUUUGAAACAGCUCUUCAACUUUCAUUUUUUUAGUUGAUAUCCCAUUUAUCUUUUAGUUUUUUAAAAAUUAAAUGAUUUCAGUGUUUAUGAAAAAUGAGAGUUUUUAGUAUUUUUGAUAAUUUUAUCAAAUUAGAUGGCUUAUUUAUAUGUUUAUCGAAUAAAUAAUUAUAUAUAAAAAAAGUUUAAAUGAAAAUAAUGUUAAGGAAUUAUACUCUUUCUUUAAUUUGAGCUUAAAUUUUUUUUUUAUAUCAAUCAAAAUAUUCUGUAUAAUUUAUAUGCAUUAAAUGACGAUUAACAAAAUGGAAAUAUAAUAUAUUUUAGCUAUUUGAACAAAACGCUCUUAUUUAUUUCAAUCGAAGACAGAACAAUACUGUGUAUAUAUGUUAUGUGAUUUACUUUUGCUGUAAAUAGCGAAAAGAUAGAAAUAUAUAAUUUAUUUCAACAAUUACGUAUUUACUACUGAACCUGAACGAAUUCAAAACUAAACAAAAACAAUCAGAUAAAAUACUUAUAUAUAAAAAUAUAAUUUUUGUUAUUUUUUAAUAAUUAAUGUAGUAUAUUAAUAAUUUAUUAAUAUGUAUAUAUUAAAAUACUUAAAUUUUUAGAUUGUACAAAAAAAUAUCUUUGAAAUAUCUAUUAGUAUUGUCUACUUUAAUAAGAAAUAAAGGGAAAUGGUAUUUUGAGGAGAAUUUACACUCGCUUUUUACAUAUGGGACUUACGGGAUUUUAAUUAUGAGGGGUAUUAUGAUAAUUUUAAACUAUUGGAGGGUAUUUUGAUUGUAUCCAUUUUAGAAAGUUAUUGAUGAGAUUAAGUUUCUAGAAGGCAUUAGUGAAAUUUAUUCUAGUAGUUUAGUAUAUAUAUAUAUUAUAUAUAUAUUAUAUAGUCGUCUCCGUACUUUGGAAAGUACAGGAGGCCCGUGCUUGUUAAGUUGUUUUCGUGACCUAGGUUAUAGUUCAAUUCGAACGAUUCGGCUCGUAGAUAUGAUCUAUUUUAUUGGAACUAUCUAGAAACUAAAUUUUAGAUUUUUGACUAUCCAUUUUUACUAAGCGAUCAAAUGAUCUAAAAUGCAUAAUUUUUAACGGGAUCGAUGUGCACAUUUAAGUUCAAGGGUUUAGAAGUAUUGCCAAAGCAGUUACCAUGAAAAUUUAAUAGAAAAUUUGUUAACUUACAUCGAGUAGCCAAGAUCAAUAUUUUCCCGUAUUUAAAAAUUUGAAUCCUUUAGGUCGAUGUUUUUUAUGAGAUUUUCGAUUUUCGAUGUCUGUUUCAUUUUGAGGCUACUGUUUACUAGACAAACGAAAUCAAAAAUUAUGAAAUUGGUUUCUGAUUUCAAUAGCGGUAUUAUCAAGUUUAACGGAAUGCCGAUCGCGGGAAUCGGGAUGUGCCAUCAUGAAAACAACUUACAAGCACGAGGCCUCCUGUACUUUCGAAAAGAUAGGCAGCUAGCUCUCUCUCUGUCUAUAUAUAGUAUAUUAUAUAUUGUUAGAGUGAGGCCUGAUUAUUCUUUUGAAAGUACGGAGCCUUGUAUUUUUUCAGGUUGUUUUUAUGUUGAUAUUUCGAAUCGUCGAAUAGGCUCCACGUUAAUUUGAUAUAGAGUAUUUGAAGCUAUUAGAAAAUAUAAUUUUUUAUGAUUUCGAUAUAUAUUUGCUAGUUGAUGAGAGAGGCUCAAAAUCAUAAUUUUUUAUUUUAAUUUUGCGCACCCGUUCAUUGGGACGGAUCAGCGAAGCAAAAAGAAAGAAUUUGAUGAACGGUUCUCACACUUCUUUCGAUUUCUUAUUUGAGAUUCGGGAGCGGAUUACUUUUUUCUUUAAUUUUAGCUUUGCUGCUUACCGACCAAGCGGAUCGGGUGGAAUGUAUCUACUAUCAGGAUCAUUUGAUUCCUAUUUUUUAAUAUAUAACUUCUGUUUAUGUGAUGGUAAACAAAAACAAUUUUCUCUGAUUGUUCAGGUUUCUGGUACGUUAAUAUUUAGUUUGUUAAGUUUCUCAUGCUUGAUAAUUCUAAUAAUUUAUAAGUAAUGCCGUAAUGAAUUUUUUGUUUCUUUCUAGAGAAUAAUUUUUGAAAAACGAAUAAUUGGAAAGGUUGGUUGAAAACGAUAAUGGAAAUUUGGUUGAUGAACACUAGCGAAUUGGGUGCAUGUGUUGCACAUUUAUUAUAGAUUAAGCGUUUCCAAUACCCCUAAAAGCGCUUCUCGGGUUGGACGAAAAUCUUUGGCUUAAUUUUAUUUAAUUAUUAGUUGAUUUAUUUCUGGUUUGUUGUUGGUUUUUGCUCAACGUGUAAUGUCUCACAAUAAGAAAAAUGAAAACAUCAUAUCCAGAGGAAAAGCAUAAUAAAAAAGAUGAAACAGAAUAAAAAAACGCACGUUCAAUUUCAGUGCUCUCACACACGAAAAAACCAAAAUAUUUUUAUUUACAUAUUUUUUUAAAUAAGAUGAUGUAAGUUUUGUGGUGGCACUCCAAUAAUUUGGACAAUAAUUUUUAGCUCAAUAACAUUGUUAGUAAAUAAAUUUUGUAAAAAGGAGUACCUUGGAACUAAGGGGUGCUGGUUUUUUGUUUGACAUAAAAGAAAAUUUUAUGGGCUGAUAGUGUUUGUAUUGCUAAGAAAAAAGGAAAAGUUUUUUCUUUACGCUUUAGUGUUUAGCAUUGGAAGAAAAAAAAAUUGAUUCAAUAUAAAAUAUUAUGAUGUAUUUUUUAUUUUAUAUCUUAAUUAUAUUAUUUUGACAUAUAAUUGAUUAUUAUAUAAUCAUAUAUAUUACCUUUUAGUUUAUAUAUAAAUAAGAAUAUUUAUAAAUAUAUCAAUAAGUAUAUAUAUAGAUAUAUUGAUGUAUUGAUUAUUUUGAAUACUAUAAAUAAAUUACAAUAUAUUAUGGAAUAACAUUUAUAAAUAAAAUAUUAUAUAAUAUUAUUUAUAUUAAGAAUAAAAUAUGAUAUAUACUAUAUACUAAUACUUAUAUAUAUAUAUAUAUUAUAUAUAUAUAUUAUAAUAAUAUUAUAUAUAUAUAGUUCAGCUUAGAAUACUUCAAAGUACUAAUUAAAAGAUUGUGCUUUUGAUGUUUAGAUUUUGGAUGAAUAAAUGUACGGUGUUAGGAUGAUUGGCGGUAGAUGGUGGUAUGUGUUGAAUAGUGUGUUGACCCAAAUCUAAUUAAUUAAUCAGAGCUAAAAACUUAUGACACCAAAGAAAUGGGCCUUUCUAAAAGUAUUUCUAGCUAAAUUAUUAUACUUAUAUAUAUUAUAUAUAGUAUAAUAUAUAGUACUAUAUAUGUACUGGAAUGCUAUCAAUGUAGCACCAAGUUAUGGGGGUGGGGCUAUUAGAUUGUUCGGUCUUGAGUCAUGAAAAAAAUGUCGAUUUAGGAUGAUGUGGGGUUCAUAGGAUUGAGGGCGGUUAUGGAGUGAUAUAAUUAACGGUUCAGGUGAAAUAGUCAAAGAGUUAAAUCCUAACAGCGAAAAAUCGCGCGCGUGAGGUACACCAAAUAUUAAGGCUAUUGAUUAGUAUCCAGACCGAACACUCUUUCGUCUACUCUUUAGUUAUAUAUUUAUAAUAUGAGAGAGAGAGAGAGAGAUGAGAGGAUUAGGUCAAUGGGUGGACUCUCUGGCACGCAUGCUGCAUUUUUCCAGAUCUAAGUUUUAGAUGUAUUCACUCGGAUGAGAGCGGAAAACGGAAACGCUACUUUUUUAAAAAAUCUAUUAAUUUUUUAAUGAGUAUCAAUAUAUUAAAAAAAUUGGUUUUUUAGUUUUUUUUUAGGUGUGGAAAUUUUCACAGGAUCGAAAACACACCCCUAUAGCAAUCUAGUAAUAAUUGUGAGUUUACAAAUCCUUGGUAUGCAUGUGUGGGUUGUGUAAUUCAUUCAUGCAUAAUCAUAAUAAUAUCAAGGAUAAGAUUAAUAAAUUUGCGGGCUCUUAAAGUUUCCCUUGUUCAUAGAUGUUAUUACUGUUCUUUUCUUAUAAAAAUGUUUUUUCUUAUUAUCCUCUGCGUCGUUGCUUGCUUUUUCUUCAAUGUUUUCUUUUCUUGUCCUGUUCCAGUUUUGACAUCAUUUGUGCAAACUGCGAUGCAUCAAGUUGUCAAAAGUUCCGUAUUUGAAUAAACAACUGUAAGUUAUCUGAAAGCGUGACGUAUCAAAAUUAUGAGAAUUAUUAUUAUUAUUUUUUUAUAUUAUAUAUGUAAUUAUAUCAAUAAUAUAUACAGAAAGUAAAAAUUAGAGGUUUUUGUUUGUUCUGCAUUCGAUUGUUUUUUUCGGAAUUUAAAAGCAAGUUUACUAUUGCAAUUAUCUGAUUAACUAAUUGGUGUUUAAAUCAUCGAAUAUAGAUAAACAUUGAUCAUCCUUAAACUGACCGACUCUUUGUCCAUCAUACAUUGAGAUAAAAGGUUUGUUAGAUCCACAUAAGACGAGCGCCCCGUCCAUUGCUCUCGCGGCUCUGUGAGAUCUCUCCGCGUGAUUCCGGCAUCUCCGCCGCCGCCGCCGCCCUCCUUCUACUCCCAUCGCCUCCUUACAGCAGCUCGAUGCGCGCCUCUAUCACCGGUUUUCUGCGGUGAGAAGAAGGGUUAAUUCGUCGCCCGACGGCACGCGAGCGAGAGCGCGUCGAGAAUGAGCAUCUCGAUUGAGAAUGGCUCGGUGCUGAGAGUGGUCCAAGUGACCAUGCGGCACGCCGGGCCGACGACCCUCAAGCCACGAGUUCCGAGCCGCAGUGACGUGGUGACGAUCCCCGACGACGGGUGUGGCCCGAGUAUCGAGGUCUGCGGGCCCACCCUUCUAGUAUUAGGCCCUGUCUCCAUCGUUCCUUGAAUCCACGUGGCAGCAAUCAGCAUCGUCGUCGUCAGAAUCCCUGACGACCAAAUAAAGGAAGCCGGACGCUUCGAGGCCGGAAAGCAGACUGGCCAGCUGGGCUCCCCGAGCCGGCAUGUUCUUUCCGAAGCACACGUAGUAGACCGAACGGCGCAGGUUUCGUUCGAGCAUGUUAUUAAUAAGCAACUGGACAGUGGUUCCAUGAAUAUCUGUUGUUAUUUUCGUUUUGUGCUUCUUCAUCUUCUUGUUUUUUACGGAGCGGAGCCUCCUUUGAAGAAGGAGUUCGUCCCGAACGAAGAGUUGCAAUGGCGGCCCACGUGCCACGCGCGGGUUGCCCAAUCGCCUCUCGAAAGUGGCGGAUGUAGUCGGGGCUCAGCUGUAGAGCUGUUUCACCAGCCGUGGUCGAAGCUCGACCCCGCCUCCGCUCCCUUCCGUCCGUCUAUCGGCGAAUCUCGCCGAACAUAUUUCUCGGAACGCGGGGGGCUGCCACUAUCCGGCAUUUGCGAGCGGAGCAUACCACCGGACGGGAGAGGCGCGAGUGACGACGGGUGUCGCUACUCGAGCGGGGCAGGGGCGGCGGUGGCGCAGAUAGGGCCGAAGAGCGCGGUGCCGUGGAAGGACGAGGCGGGGAUGCCGAGUCUCUCGGCUACGGGGAUUGUCCAGGGGAAGAAAUAGUCGCGGAGACGACGGGUCGCCGGGGCUAUUCUCGCGAGCAUGGCGCCUAAAAGGCUCACGGGAGUCCAGGCAACGGCGACCAUGAACUCACGAAUAGAUAAUUAUCUAUUAAUUUUUUUUUGUUCGCUCUGCUAUAUUACACGCUAAGAGAAACUGAGUAUAGAAAAACCUGUAACGCGAGGUCUGAGUCGGAAGAGUAAAUAAUAAAUAAAUAAAGAAAUAAAUAAAUAAAUAAAUAUAUAUAUAUAUAUAUAUAUAUAUAUAGAAUUGAGCUAGAAUAUUUUUAUAAGCAUCAAUUCCUUAGUGUUUCUAAGUUUUUAACCAUUGGAUUUAUUUCUUAAUUACUAAUAUCCCUUGGAUCAAACACUAUUCCAUCUAUCACCACCUACCACAACCAUCGUCUCAACCUUACAUCUCUCCAUCCAAUGGCUAAAAACUCAAAAGCACCACCCCUUUGUGCUUUUGAGAGUAUUCUAACUCAACUUUAUAUAUAUAUAUAUAUACACACACACACGCUUUUUAAAAUUUUUGUUCUUCUCAACAUUUUUUUUUUUUGUUUUUGCCUACACUAAGUGUAAAAUUUUAUCGCAUAACUCUAUUUUUUAAUAGUUAAUAUAACAAAAUUAAAAUUUUAUACAGUAUAAAAAAAUUCUAUACCCAGUGUAUAGGACAUACUCAAAUACAAUUUAUAAUUAAUAAAAAAAGUAAACUUUAAAUACCAUCAUUGUGAUUUCGCACUUUGCCAUUUGAGUACUAUGUUGCUUUAAAGUCAUUACAACUUAGUAUUUUGUUGGUUUUCAGUUUUUUUUUUUAGUUAGUUCUUUCCGUUAGUAUUUCGUGUAAUAUCAAUAUAAAAAACACUUCAGAUGUUACUCUAGGUUACUCAGAUAUUCACUUUAGAACCUUAUUUAAUUUUAUAUAAUUUAAAGAAAAAAUUUGUGGAAUGGAAUAAUAAAAGGGAGAGAUUGGAAGGCCAUAGGCUUAUAGUUAUAUAUACUUAAACACAUGGUAAUAAAGAUUAAACAAGUAGGAAACCAUAUGGGUGGAUUGAAGUCUUUCUCUAAUAGAAAUUCUAUACAAAAAGGAAAUUUUUAUCUUUAUUCUGCUUAUCUCAAUUUCUAUUUAUUUGGGGUCUAAUAGAUUAUUACCAUUUAUGAUCGCGGAACGAGAAAAAGUACUGGCAGGCUCCUUCGAGGAUUUAUGAGCCUAUUUUUUUUUUUUUAAAAAAAAAUAGUCUCUCCUACGUAUUAUUAUAUAUAUAUAUAGAUAUAGGUGAGUCAAUUUCAUGAAUCCCAGUACAAAGUGGGUAAAAUACUGAUAGAUUCCCUAUAAGUUCUAUAAAUAUAUCCUCUGAACUCACAAUUUACACGAAAUUUAUCAAUCUAAUCACCUCUCUGCACUGUCUUAGUCAUCACUGUUAGCUUUUACUAGUUAUGAUAAAUGAGCGGUUAAAGAAUUGCGAUUUAAAAUUGUAAAAUAAAUUAUUUUGCCCUAGUUUUUCUUUAAGUUAAAAUUGUCUAUGGAAACCCCUCAACUUAUUAUGCAUUUUUUGAAACAGCUCUUCAACUUUCAUUUUUUUAGUUGAUAUCCCAUUUAUCUUUUAGUUUUUUAAAAAUUAAAUGAUUUCAGUGUUUAUGAAAAAUGAGAGUUUUUAGUAUUUUUGAUAAUUUUAUCAAAUUAGAUGGCUUAUUUAUAUGUUUAUCGAAUAAAUAAUUAUAUAUAAAAAAAGUUUAAAUGAAAAUAAUGUUAAGGAAUUAUACUCUUUCUUUAAUUUGAGCUUAAAUUUUUUUUUUAUAUCAAUCAAAAUAUUCUGUAUAAUUUAUAUGCAUUAAAUGACGAUUAACAAAAUGGAAAUAUAAUAUAUUUUAGCUAUUUGAACAAAACGCUCUUAUUUAUUUCAAUCGAAGACAGAACAAUACUGUGUAUAUAUGUUAUGUGAUUUACUUUUGCUGUAAAUAGCGAAAAGAUAGAAAUAUAUAAUUUAUUUCAACAAUUACGUAUUUACUACUGAACCUGAACGAAUUCAAAACUAAACAAAAACAAUCAGAUAAAAUACUUAUAUAUAAAAAUAUAAUUUUUGUUAUUUUUUAAUAAUUAAUGUAGUAUAUUAAUAAUUUAUUAAUAUGUAUAUAUUAAAAUACUUAAAUUUUUAGAUUGUACAAAAAAAUAUCUUUGAAAUAUCUAUUAGUAUUGUCUACUUUAAUAAGAAAUAAAGGGAAAUGGUAUUUUGAGGAGAAUUUACACUCGCUUUUUACAUAUGGGACUUACGGGAUUUUAAUUAUGAGGGGUAUUAUGAUAAUUUUAAACUAUUGGAGGGUAUUUUGAUUGUAUCCAUUUUAGAAAGUUAUUGAUGAGAUUAAGUUUCUAGAAGGCAUUAGUGAAAUUUAUUCUAGUAGUUUAGUAUAUAUAUAUAUUAUAUAUAUAUUAUAUAGUCGUCUCCGUACUUUGGAAAGUACAGGAGGCCCGUGCUUGUUAAGUUGUUUUCGUGACCUAGGUUAUAGUUCAAUUCGAACGAUUCGGCUCGUAGAUAUGAUCUAUUUUAUUGGAACUAUCUAGAAACUAAAUUUUAGAUUUUUGACUAUCCAUUUUUACUAAGCGAUCAAAUGAUCUAAAAUGCAUAAUUUUUAACGGUCGAUGUGGCACAUUUUUAAGUUCAACGGUGUAGAAGUAUCCAAAUUACAUGAAAAUUUAAUAGAAAAUUCUACUUAACAUCAGUAGCAAGAUCAAUAUUUCCGAUUUAAAAUUUGAAUCCUUUAUCACUGUUUUUUAUGAGAUUUUCAUUUUCAUCUGUUCAUUUUGAGGCUACUCGUUUACUAGACAAACGAAAUCAAAAAAUUAUGAAAUUGGUUUCUAGAUAGUUCCAAUAGCGUAGAUCAAGUUUAACGGAACCGAUCGCCGAAUCGGAUGUCCCAUCAUCGAAAACAACUUACAAGCACGAGGCCUCCCGUACUUUCGAAAGCAUAGGAGCCUAGCUCUCUCUCUCUCUCUAUAUAUAUAUAUAUAUAUAUAGAGUGAGGCUAUUAUUCUUUUGAAAGUACGGAGCCUUCCGUAUUUUCAGGUUGUUUUUAAUGUUGCAACUUUCGAAUCGUCGAUAGGCUCCGUUAAAUUUGAUCUAGAGUAUUUGAAGUACUUAGAAAAUAAAUUUUAUGAUUUUUCGAUAUAUCAUUUGCCUAUUGAUCAGAGAGGCUCAAAAUCAAUAAUUUUUAUUUUAAUUUUUGCCGCCACCGCUUCAUUGGGGACGGAUCAAGGCGGAAGCAAAAAGAAAGAAUUGAUGGGUCUCCCACCUUCUGGUCCAUUUCUUAUUGGAUUCGGGGCGGAUUACUUUUUUCUUUAAUUUUAGCUUCUGCUUACCGACCCAAGCGGAUCGGGUGGGAGUUCUACUAAUCCGGAUCCAUUUGCAUCCUAUUUUUUAUAUAUCACUUAUGUUGCCAUGUGAUGGUAAAACAAACAAUUUUCUCUGAUUUCGGUUUCUGGCUACGUUAACUAUUUAGUUUGUAAGUUUUCACUGCUUGAUAAUUCUAAUAAUUUAUAAGUAAUGCGUAAUGAAUUUUUUGUUUCUUUCUAGAAGAAUAACUUUUGAAAACGAAUAAUGGAAAUUGGUUGAAAACGAAUAAUGGAAAUUUUGGUUGUGAACCACUAGCGAAUGGUGCAUGUGUGCCACAUUUAAUUUAUGAUUAUGCGUUAUCCACAUACCCCUAAAAGCCCUUCUCGGUUGGAGAAAAUCUUGCUUAAUUUUAUUUAUUAUUAGUUAUUUAUUUCUUGGUUUGUUUUGUUUUUGCUCAACGUGUAAUGUCUCACAAUAAGAAAAAUGAAAACAUCAUCUCCAGAGGAAAAGCAUAAAUAAAAUAAGAUGAAAACACGAAUAAACAAAACGACGUUCAAUUCUCAGUGCUCUCACACACGAAAAACCAAAAUAUUUUUAAUUAAUUAAUUUUUUUAAAUCAUGUGUAAGUCCUAUUGUGGCACUCCAAUAAUUUGGACCAAUAAUUUAGGCUCAAUAAAUUGUUAGUAAAUAAAUUUGAAAAAGGAUACCUUGGAACUAAGGGCUGUUUGGUUUGACAUAAAAAAAAAUUAAUUAAUUAAAAAUAUUUUGGUUUUUCGUGUGUGAGAGCACUGAGAAUUGAACGUCGUUUUGUUUAUUCGUGUUUUCAUCUUAUUUUAUUUAUGCUUUUCCUCUGGAGAUGAUGUUUUCAUUUUUCUUAUUGUGAGACAUUACACGUUGAGCAAAAACAAAACAAACCAAGAAAUAAAUAACUAAUAAUAAAUAAAAUUAAGCAAGAUUUUCUCCAACCGAGAAGGGCUUUUAGGGGUAUGUGGAUAACGCAUAAUCAUAAAUUAAAUGUGGCACACAUGCACCAUUCGCUAGUGGUUCACAACCAAAAUUUCCAUUAUUCGUUUUCAACCAAUUUCCAUUAUUCGUUUUCAAAAGUUAUUCUUCUAGAAAGAAACAAAAAAUUCAUUACGCAUUACUUAUAAAUUAUUAGAAUUAUCAAGCAGUGAAAACUUACAAACUAAAUAGUUAACGUAGCCAGAAACCGAAAUCAGAGAAAAUUGUUUGUUUUACCAUCACAUGGCAACAUAAGUGAUAUAUAAAAAAUAGGAUGCAAAUGGAUCCGGAUUAGUAGAACUCCCACCCGAUCCGCUUGGGUCGGUAAGCAGAAGCUAAAAUUAAAGAAAAAAGUAAUCCGCCCCGAAUCCAAUAAGAAAUGGACCAGAAGGUGGGAGACCCAUCAAUUCUUUCUUUUUGCUUCCGCCUUGAUCCGUCCCCAAUGAAGCGGUGGCGGCAAAAAUUAAAAUAAAAAUUAUUGAUUUUGAGCCUCUCUGAUCAAUAGGCAAAUGAUAUAUCGAAAAAUCAUAAAAUUUAUUUUCUAAGUACUUCAAAUACUCUAGAUCAAAUUUAACGGAGCCUAUCGACGAUUCGAAAGUUGCAACAUUAAAAACAACCUGAAAAUACGGAAGGCUCCGUACUUUCAAAAGAAUAAUAGCCUCACUCUAUAUAUAUAUAUAUAUAUAUAGAUAGAGAGAGAGAGCUAGGCUCCUAUGCUUUCGAAAGUACGGGAGGCCUCGUGCUUGUAAGUUGUUUUCGAUGAUGGGACAUCCGAUUCGGCGAUCGGUUCCGUUAAACUUGAUCUACGCUAUUGGAACUAUCUAGAAACCAAUUUCAUAAUUUUUUGAUUUCAUUUGUCUAGUAAACGAGUAGCCUCAAAAUGAACAGAUGAAAAUGAAAAUCUCAUAAAAAACAGUGAUAAAGGAUUCAAAUUUUAAAUCGGAAAUAUUGAUCUUGCUACUGAUGUUAAGUAGAAUUUUCUAUUAAAUUUUCAUGUAAUUUGGAUACUUCUACACCGUUGAACUUAAAAAUGUGCCACAUCGACCGUUAAAAUAGUCAUUUUUUAGACCUUUUGAUCGCUUAGUAAAUGAUGUCAAAAAAAUCUAAAAUUUAGUUUCUAGAUAGUUCCAAUAAAAUAGAUCAUAUCUAACGGAGCCGAUCGUCGAAUUGAACAUCCUAUCAUCGAAAACAACUUACAAGCACGGGGCCUCCUGUACUUUCAAAAGUACGGGAGACGGACUAUAUAUAUAUAUAUAUGCCCAGCUCUGCCGCAGCUGGCUUUCGCCUCGAAGCUGUCCGCUGUCCUUUAUAUUGGGUGUCAGGGAUUCUGACGACGAGAUGCUAAUGCUGCCACGUGGAUUAAGGAACCGAGUGGAGGACAGGGCUAAAACUGAAGGGGUGGCGCCCCGCAGUCACUGAUACUGGGCACGCCUCGGGGAUCGGUAUUCCACGCACUUGGCUGGACCGUGUCUUGAGGGGUCUCGCCGGCGUCGCGAUGGUCAUCUGGCCACUCUCGCCGAGCAGUUCUUCACGAUGCAGGCUCAUCGUCGAUCGCGCUCCGAUCGGAGUGCCGGUCGGGGCGACAAGUACGCCCUGCUUCUCACCCGCAGAAAAGUCAUUAGAGGUGCGCGCAAAACUCGAGACUGCGUAAGGAAGGGCGAUGGGGGGAGGAGAGGAGCGCUGGCGGCGCGCGACGAUUCGGAAUCACGCGAGAGACUAGCAGAGGCCGCCGAGAGGGCAUGGAGCGCGCGGGCUCGUAGCUAUGUGGAUCUACACAAACCUUAUCCAAGAGUUGUAGAUGACAAGCAGCGGCAGUUAAGGAUUGAUCAAUGUUUUAUUAUAUCAUCGAUUAAACACAGCGUACUGCAAUUUACAUCAAUAAUGCAAUAGUAAGCUGCUUGAUUAUUCGAAAAAACAAUUCUGAAUGGCAGAACACAAAAACUUAACGUUUUAGUUCUGUAUAUAUUAUUGAUAUAUUGACAUAUAUAUAUAUAAAAAAUAAUAAUAAUAAUUUCUCUUAUUUGGAUCUGUCACGCUUUCAGAUUAUUACAGUUUUUAUUCAAAUACGAACUUUGACCAAUGUGGUCAUCGCAGUUUGAUGCCACAAAGAGUGUCAAACUGAACAGGACAAGAGAAAGAAACAUUGAAGAAAAAACACACACAAAACAAACCAGGAGAAAAAAAAAAAAUAGAGAAGAAACUUUAUUAUAGAAAAGAAGCAGGUAAUUAGCAGCUAUGAAAGGGAAACUGUUAACGGCCCCCCCAAAUUUAUUAUCUUAUCCUAGUUAUUAUUAAUUGAUGUUAUGCAUGCAAAGAUUAACAACACACUUGCAUACCAAGAUUGAUGAAUCAGCAAUUACGUAGAUUGCUUAUAGGGUGUGUUUCAUCCUUUGCAAAAAAUUUAAAAAAAAAACGAAAAACUAAUUUUUUCCAAUAUUUGAUUACUCUAUAAAAAUUUAUAGAUUAUUUUAACAAAGUAGGAGUUUUCGUUUUCCGCUCGUCUCCGAGUGGAAAUGAAACUGUGAUCUGAGAAAAUGCAGUCAUGGUGCUAGAAGAGUCACCCAGAGACCUACCUCUCUCUCUCUCCUCUCUCUCUCUCUCUCAUUAUAUAAAUAUAAUUAGUAGAGAGAGAAAAGAGUGUUCGCUGGAUAUCUAUCAAAUAGCAUUAGAUUUGGUGCUACCGUUUUUUCGCCGUUAGAUUUAAACUCUUUGACUAUUUUCACGUCCGUAGAUUAUAUCAAUAAUAACGCACUCCAAUCCUAUGAAGCCCACAUCAUCCUAAUUCGUACAUUUUAUCCAGAACCGAAAAUCUAAUUAGCCAUCAAUAACUUGGUGCUAUUGAUAGCAUUGCCAGUAUAAUAAUAAUAUAUAUAAUAAUAAUAUUAUGAUAUAUUAUAAUUAUAUAUAUAUAUUAUAUAAUGAGCUAGAAUACUUUUAGAAGGACUUUCUUUGGUGCUUCUAAGUUUUUAGCUCACUGAUUUAAUUAAUAGAUUUUGGGUGUCAAACCUGAUUUCCCACCAAUCUACCGCCAUCAUCCUAGCCUCGAUUUUUUCAUCCAAAUGCUAACUCAAAAAGCAUAAAUUUUUAGUACUUUUGAAAUAUUCGAGUGACUUACUAGUUAUAAUAAUAUAUAUAUAUAGUUAUAUAUAUAUAAUAUAUAUAUAUUAUAUAUAUAUAUAUAUUAUAUGUAUUAUUUUAUUUGAUAAUAAAUAUAUUUUUUUAAUAUUUAUUAUAAAUGUUAUUCAUAAAUAUGAUUUUAAUUGUUUUUAUAGUAUUAAAUAUAUAUACUAUCAAUAUAUUAUUUAUAUACUUAUUGAUAUAUUUUAAUAUAUUUUUAUUUAUAAUAUAAAACUAUAAAGUAUAUAAUGGAUUAUUUAAUCAUAUAUGUCCAAUAAUAUAUUGUAAAUAGAUAUAAAAUAAAAAAAUACAUAUAAUAGUUGUUAUAUGAUAUUUUUUUUUUCUUUCAAUCAAACACCGUAAAGAAAAAACUUUUCUUUGUUCUUAGCAAUACAACACUAUCAGCCCAUAAAAGUUUUUUUUUUAUGUCAAACCAAACAGCCCUAAGUUCAAGGUAUCCUUUUUCAAAAUUUAUUUACUAACAAAUUUAUUGAGCCUAAAUUAUUGGUCCAAAGUAUUGGAAGUGCCACAAUAAGGACUUACCAUGUUCUGCCCCGAGCCGGCCCAUGCUCCCGAAGCACACGUAGAUAACCGAACCGGGCCGGUUCCGGUCGAGCCAUUCUAUUAGAUAAGAACUGGACCCAGUUGGUUCAUGUGUCUGCUCUUUUCGUUCUUGUGCUUCUUCAUCUUCUUGUUUUUCUUUCGGGCGGAGCCUCCUUUGAAGGAGGGUUCCGUCCCGACCGAAGAGUGCAAUGGGGCCCACGUGCCACGCGCGGUGCCCCAUCGCCUCUCGAAAGUGGCGGAUGUAGUCGGGCUCGAGCUCGUAGAAGCUGUUCACCACCGUGCCGAAGCUCCGCCCCUCCGUCGUCGCGAUCUCGCCGAACAAUUCUCGGAACGCGGGGGGCGACUUGCCGCUAUCCGGCAUUUGGGAGCGGAGCAUCACCACCCGGCGCGGGAGGCCGCCGAGGACGACGGUGUCGCUACUGCCGAGCGGGGUGGCAGGGGCGGCGGUGGCGCAGAGGGCGAAGAAGCCGGUGCCGUGGAAGACGAGGCGGGGGAUGCCGAGCUCCUCGGCUACGGGGAUUGUCCAGGGGAAGAAAUAGUCGGAGACGACGGCGUCGACCGGGCGUAUCUCGCGGAGCAGGCGGCUAAAAGGCUCACGGAGUCCAGGCACGGCGACCAUGAACCUUCACGAAUAGAUAAUUUAUUACUAAUUUUUUUGUUCGCUCUGAUAUCACGUAGAGAAACUGAGUAUAGAAACCUGUUAACGGAGUCUGAGUCGGAGAGUUCGGCGAUGUUCUCGAUGCCGGGAGGGAGGCCGGUGAGGGCGGGGGAGGGGAAGGGGAGGAUGCGGAGGCUGAUGUUGGCACCGGGGAGGCGGCGGGAGUCGAUGAGGGGGGCGUUGGCGGGGGUGGCGACGACGGUGGUGGCGACGCCGCCGCGGGCGGCAAAGAGGUUGGCCAUGUCCACCAUGGGAGGCAUGUGGCCCGUAGCCAUGAAAGGGAAGAACACGACGUGCAGGGGACGUCGAGCUAAAUAAUCCGAGCUCUCCAUGGUCACAGUUGUAUGUAUUUC
rnacentral:lncRNA from 1 species